GACGAACGCUGGCGGCGUACUUAACACAUGCAAGUCGAACGAAGCUUGAUUAUGGAAUUCUUCGGAAUGAAGUAUGAUAUGACUUAGUGGCGGACGGGUGAGUAACGCGUGAGUAACCUGCCUUUCAGAGGGGGAUAACGUUUGGAAACGAACGCUAAUACCGCAUGAAAUAUAUUUAAGGCAUCUUAGAUAUAUCAAAGAUUUAUCGCUGAGAGAUGGACUCGCGUCUGAUUAGAUAGUUGGUGAGGUAACGGCUCACCAAGUCGACGAUCAGUAGCCGGACUGAGAGGUUGAACGGCCACAUUGGGACUGAGACACGGCCCAGACUCCUACGGGAGGCAGCAGUGGGGAAUAUUGGCACAAUGGGUGCAAGCCUGAUGCAGCAACGCCGCGUGAGGGAAGACGGUCUUCGGAUUGUAAACCUUGUCUUGGUGAAGAGAAAGUGACGGUAGCCAAGGAGGAAGCCACGGCUAACUACGUGCCAGCAGCCG
rnacentral:rRNA from 1 species